UACGGAGGGUGCAAGCGUUAAUCGGAAUUACUGGGCGUAAAGCGCACGCAGGUGGCUGAGUCAGUCGAUUGUGAAAGCCCUGGGCUUAACCUGGGAAUUGCAGUCGAUACUACUCAGCUAGAGUAUGGGAGAGGGUAGUGGAAUUCCGAGUGUAGAGGUGAAAUUCGUAGAUAUUCGGAAGAACACCAGUGGCGAAGGCGACUCACUGGACACAUAUUGACGCUGAGGUGCGAAAGCGUGGGGAGCAAACAGG
rnacentral:rRNA from 1 species